AUUAGAUACCCGCGUAGUCCGAGGGUAGUAAACGCUGCAGACUUGGUGUUGGACGGCCCGUUUGGGGGCAUUCAGUGCCGGAGAGAAGUUGUUAAGUCUGCUACGUUGGGAGUACGUCCGCAAGGAUGAAACUUAAAGGAAUUGGCGGGGGAGCACCGCGACGGGAGGAGCGUGCGGUUUAAUUGGAUUCAACACCGUAAACUCACCAGGGAAGACUGUUACAUGAAGGCCGAGAUGAAGACUCUGCUAGAUUUUCAG
rnacentral:rRNA from 1 species